AGAAUGAACGCUAGCGAUAUGCUUAACACAUGCAAGUUGAACGUUGUUUUCGAAUCAGAAUGAGAACAAAGUAGCGAACGGGUGCGUAACACGUGGGAAUCUGCCGAACAGUUUGGGCCAAAUCCCGAAUGAAUAAAAGCUAAAAAGCGCUGUUUGAUGAGCCCACGUAGUAUUAGGUAGUUGGUUAGGUAAAAGCUGACCAAGCCUACGAUGCUUAGCUGGUCUUUUCGGAUGAUCAGCCACACUGGGACUGAGACACGGCCCAGACUCCUACGGGAGGCAGCAGUGGGGAAUCUUGGACAAUGGGCGAAAGCCUGAUCCGGCAAUAUGGCGUGAGUGAAGAAGGGCAACGCAGCUUGUAAAGCUCUUUCAUCGAGUGUGCGAUUGUGACAGGACUCGAAUAAGAAGCCCCGGCUAACUCCGUGCCAGCAGCCGC
rnacentral:rRNA from 1 species